rnacentral:piRNA from 1 species
UCACACAACAAAUGAGGUCUCUGGGUCCCUU